UCUCUCCCUGCCGCGUUUAACUUCACCAUCGCAGAACAGCCUGCCAAAGCGAGCAGCAUGACCAAAGGCAGAGUGAUUGGCAUCGUCAUGGUGAUCUUCCUGGUGGUAUUCCUGGUGGUAGACGCCACCUGCUGCUACAGAAACCGCUGCGGCCUGCUAAUGUCCAUCGCUGUGAAAAUCUUUGGACAGAAAGUCCCAGGACUGAAAAUGCUUGAAGAAGGAGAGGGAGGCACUAAUGGAGAUGUGAAGCUGAAGGGUAUUUCCACUCCGAGAGGCAGUGUGCAAGAUGCGGGGGUGCAGACACUCACUAAGGAGGGGGGGCCAGUCACAGAGAUCACCUGCGACAAAGCCCCCCUUACCAAACACGAGAAAAAGCUGCACACUGCUGAUGCAUGAGGCCAGAACCAGGAGAAACGACAAGUAAAACGUGUAAAUGAUGUAUAGAUAAUAGAGAAGAUAUCAACGUCAAUGAUCUCUACAUUGAAUACAGCUGCUAUGGGAAAGGUCAGUCAUUACUGACAGACUGCAGGGUUGCAGAUGUUGUUGAGGUUUGUUAGGUUUGGGCUGUUUCAGACGUCUCUGCUGUUGGAGUGAGAGAACAGCAGGUUGAAAAUCUCCCAGUUUCCAAUUCACAUGAAGACUGACACAGGAUACAGGCAGGAGGUGGUGCCAUUUUGUGUUUUUUGUUCUGUGUGCUCUGAUUUAGAUUAGUUCAGAAGACAAAAUCGCAUUUUACAGGGUAAUCGUGAUGUCUGUGUUUUACAGGGUAAAGUUAUUGGUCUUAGAAAUAAAAGAAUAUUGCUAAAUUUUCUAAAAGUCACAAUAAAUGUUUACCUUCUGCAUUUUGAAUGCUGUACACAGACACAAGGUCUUAUUUUAUUGAAUUGUUUUUCAUUUCUUUAUGAUGUUUUUUGUAUAUUUUGUUUUGUUAUUUACUUUUUAUUAACAUGGCUGCUCUUCUGAUGGUUAUGUAAGAUUAAACUUUAUUUUAGUUUAAAUAACACUAUAUCCUGAUACUGACCAGUAUGUUGAACCAUUUAAAGGGCAUUUCAGCUUAAACUAAACCUAUAUUACCUUAAUGUAAUCACCAUGCACUAAUAUGUAUUGUUUUUAAACCAUACAUGAGAGAUAUUUAUCAUGACAGGCUUUGAACAUGAAGCCAUAUUUGACUUUUUAACCAGCUUUACUGUUAAGCACAUUUUUGUGGAAGAACUUUAUAAAUGGUUGGCAACUAACACUGGCCCCAUAGGGGAGCUGUACUGUAAUUAAAAGCAACUUUUAUUAUGAAAAUAUCCUUUAAAGUACCUGUAAUAAUAGCCAACAUGUAAAACAUAUAUACAGCUAACAAAAUUGACUUAUGCUAAAAGUUAUUUUGUAUUUGUAAUCAUAUUAAUAUUCACGGUAAUUAAACAACAAUAUUUAACAACAGUUAAAUAUUUAACUUGACAUAAGUAUGUUAUGUUUGCAAUUGACCUGAACAUCUUAAUGAAGUGUUUUAAAAUUGUUGUGAUAUUGUAUUGAACACUGUAUAUUGCUGUAGAUACACAUGCUGUUACAUCUUUGCAUUUGAUAAAAACCUGGACUGUACAAAA
ensembl:lncRNA